rnacentral:rRNA from 1 species
ACGUAGGGUGCGAGCGUUAAUCGGAAUUACUGGGCGUAAAGCGUGCGCAGGCGGUCUGUUAAGACCGAUGUGAAAUCCCCGGGCUUAACCUGGGAACUGCAUUGGUGACUGGCAGGCUUUGAGUGUGGCAGAGGGGGAUGGAAUUCCGCGUGUAGCAGUGAAAUGCGUAGAUAUGCGGAGGAACACCGAUGGCGAAGGCAAUCCCCUGGGCCUGCACUGACGCUCAUGCACGAAAGCGUGGGGAGCAAACAGGA